UGGCAGCUUCUAAGAGAGUUUCUUAAAAGACAGUUGGCUUGGGCCUUUGUUCCUUUUAUUUUUUCUUUUCCUCCUUUUUGCUGUUUAGAAUAGAAGCAAUGGCUAAAUCUGGAGUAAUUAUUUAGAAUUAGGAAGAAACUUUAGAUAUGGAAGCCUCGUGUGGUGAAACAACUCAAAUGAACCUGAGUUUCUGAAGACUUCACUUCACUGACUCACCACAUCAGUCCACAACCUCCUUGUUGCCCGCUGGCCUCCUGAGUUCUGAACUAUGUGUGGUCAGACACUUAGAACACCUGUCAUGCAUGGGCUGCAUGAACCCAGGAGGGCUGUCUCUGUGCUCAGGCAGAUGUGACCUCCCUUAGCCUGCCCACAGGAGGCUCGACCACCCUGCCCCUGUGCUCUGAGUGAAGACAUGGAAACCAAUGAGCCCGAGGGAGGUGUGAAGAGGAGUGAAGAGUCAGGCAGACUUGGAUUUUCAUUCUAUUUCCACUGUUAACAACCUUAUAAAAACUCAUUGAGCCCCAGUUUCUCCAUCUGUCCAAUGGAAAUUCUCUUAUAGUGUAUGAUGAAAAUAUAAUGAAUUAAUGUAUAUAAAGUACUUUGCACACAGUAAGCACUUCAUAUAACUUGAGUGAAUAUUAUAUAUAAUGAAUAUGGUUUUCAUUAAUAUCUUUGCCUUGAGACUUUUCCUGGAGGCCUAAGAUACAUUCUGUCCCACAAAGUACAUGACUAAGAGAAAAACAGGAAAUGUGACUUACUCCAUCGAUGAAACAAGUUUUUUUUUUUUUUAAGUGUUUACAGCAUUGCCAAGUACUGUAUGAGGCCCCUCCCUCCAACCUUCCUGCCUUCAUCCUUUCACAAACAUUGAUUGUGUGUCUAUGAGGUGCUAGACAUUGGGUUAUAUGCUAGGAAAAUAGUAAUGAGAUAGACAAAUAUGUUCCCUACCAUCACAGAGCUUAAGAGCCUGAGGGAAAGACCUAUUUUACACGAGUAUAGCUAGGUGUAGAGCCCGGGAUAAGUUCUAGGUGCUACAAUAGUGCUCAUGGCGUAUGGGGCAUCUUAUAAGAUCUUCAGGGUCAGCAAGACCAUGUUAUGAGUUUCUUUUUAUGAGAUCAGUUGUCAAUAGUGUAAGUGAUUUGGCUACAUUGGUCAGUGGUGUUUUCAUCAUAUUUCCCUA